UACGUAGGGUGCAAGCGUUGUCCGGAAUUAUUGGGCGUAAAGAGCUCGUAGGCGGUUUGUCGCGUCUGCUGUGAAAACGCGAGGCUCAACCUCGCGCCUGCAGUGGGUACGGGCAGACUAGAGUGCGGUAGGGGAGAUUGGAAUUCCUGGUGUAGCGGUGGAAUGCGCAGAUAUCAGGAGGAACACCGAUGGCGAAGGCAGAUCUCUGGGCAUUAACUGACGCUGAGGAGCGAAAGCAUGGGGAGCGAACAGG
rnacentral:rRNA from 1 species